UACGUAGGCAGCGAGCGUUGUUCGGAGUUACUGGGCGUAAAGGGUGUGUAGGCGGUUGUUUAAGUUUGGUGUGAAAUCUCCCGGCUCAACUGGGAGGGUGCGCCGAAUACUGAAUGACUAGAGUACGGGAGAGGAAAGUGGAAUUCCUGGUGUAGCGGUGAAAUGCGUAGAUAUCUGGAGGAACACCGGUGGCGAAGGCGGCAUCCUGGACCAACACUGACGCUGAGGAGCGAAAGCCAGGGGAGCAAACGGG
rnacentral:rRNA from 1 species